UGCAUGCCCAGUUGAACGGUGGGUGAUCCCAUCAGGUCUUAACCAGCUCAGCUCCAACUCGCUCAGCUUCUGGGAAACAGCUCUGGGUGAACCUUCUUUAGGCUACGUGACCCUUGGAGGACGCCAGUCUUCCAAGGACCUGGACUAGUGAAGGCAAGCAAAACAGCCUGGCUGAAUAUUGGGCGUGCUUACUAGGAGCAGCAAGACAAAAGGAAGCUGUGGCUUUUAGGAAUUGUUGCCAGUGUGACUUUAUAUAUCAGCGGAGAAGGAACACAAAUAAUGUCUAGAGGGUCAGGACAAGUCAGUAUUAAACAGAUAUUUUUUGUUUAA